rnacentral:rRNA from 1 species
CCUACGGGCGGCUGCAGUGGGGAAUAUUGGACAAUGGGCGAAAGCCUGAUCCAGCCAUGCCGCGUGUGUGAAGAAGGCCUUCGGGUUGUAAAGCACUUUCAGUGGGGAAGAAAGCCUUGGGGCUAAUACCCUCGAGGAAGGACAUCACCCACAGAAGAAGCACCGGCUAACUCCGUGCCAGCAGCCGCGGUAAUACGGAGGGUGCGAGCGUUAAUCGGAAUUACUGGGCGUAAAGCGCGCGUAGGCGGUCUGAUAAGCCGGUUGUGAAAGCCCCGGGCUCAACCUGGGAACGGCAUCCGGAACUGUCAGGCUAGAGUGCAGGAGAGGAAGGUAGAAUUCCCGGUGUAGCGGUGAAAUGCGUAGAGAUCGGGAGGAAUACCAGUGGCGAAGGCGGCCUUCUGGACUGACACUGACGCUGAGGUGCGAAAGCGUGGGUAGCAAACAGGAUUAGAUACCCGAGUAGU